CGAGGGGGACCAGGCCUGCGGCGAGGGCGCGCCCCCGGGCGGGCGUGGGCGCGGGCGCGCGCGUUCCCGGGACUCAGUGUCUGUGAGGAUCCCUCGCCAGGCCGGGCCUGUCACCUCCAGAUCGCUACCUGAGCAUAUUUCCCUUCAGUUACUUGAGUCGGCUCCAUCUUCUCCCCGCCCUUCUCUUCCUUGGGGGAUUUUCCAAAACAUUAAUGGAAAGACAGUCCGAUGACAAGAUUCCUCAUGAAGAGAAGGAAGACUGUCCAUAAAAUAUGCCAUGAGCAAAGACAAGGAAACAAGACUGCAGAUGCAUUCUGUGGUUCCAGGAAUUCAGAAGCAUAGUCUCAGCCCUCCUGUGUCUGACACAUAGGGAAAUCUGGCACAUAGGGAAAUCAUCACAAUACAAGGUGUCAAUCAAGUUAAAAUUAAAAGAAGAAAGAGAGAAGAGGUAGAAAGAGAGAGAAGAGAGACGAGAGAGAAGAAAACUGGUUGCUUUAGGUUAUGUACUCAGCUGUUGGCUAGGGAAAGAUGGCAUUUUGAUACUUUCACCAAGAUUGCACAUAAUGGACAAGGUUGCCCACUCUCACAACUGUUAUUCAACAGAGUUUUGGAAGUUUUAGCCACAGCAAUCAGAGAAGAAAAAUAAAUAAAAGGAAUCCAAAUCGGA